rnacentral:SRP_RNA from 1 species
GUCGGGGUAGUAGCGAUAUCCUGUGACCCGUGCGGGGACAAAGACUGUGUGGAUAAUCCGUUGUGAUGUUGGGCCUGGGAGGUCCAUGUUGACGGUCGGCCCAUUCCAAGCCGGCGGCCAACAAUGGCGACCCGCCGGAGGGCGGGGCGUCGUGGUUGAUAAUGAGGGAGGUACCGCCUAAGGCCGGAAACGGAGCAGGGAAAACUUCCCACCGUCAGCAGUGGAAGGAAAACUGACUUGAAUGGACGCCCAGAUCACCCAUAUUCACAUUGAGAUUAGACCUCAGUUUUU